rnacentral:siRNA from 1 species
GGUAACCCAACUCAACUCAACUC